UACGUAGGCAGCGAGCGUUGUUCGGAGUUACUGGGCGUAAAGGGUGCGUAGGCGGUUGUUUAAGUUUGGUGUGAAAUCUCCCGGCUCAACUGGGAGGGUGCGCCGAAUACUGAAUGACUAGAGUGCGGGAGAGGAGAGUGGAAUUCCUGGUGUAGCGGUGAAAUGCGUAGAUAUCAGGAGGAACACCGGUGGUGUAGACGGCUCUCUGGACCGUAACUGACGCUGAGGUACGAAAGCGUGGGUAGCAAACAGG
rnacentral:rRNA from 1 species